GUAGGGAGCAAGCGUUGUUCGGGAACUAUUGGGGCGUAAAGAGUGCGUAGGCGGCUAGGCAAGUCUGAUGUGAAAUCCCACAGCUCAACUGUGGAACUGCAUUGGAAACUGCUUGGCUGGAGUGCGGGAGAGGAGAGUGGAAUUCCCAGUGUAGAGGUGAAAUUCGUAGAUAUUGGGAGGAACACCGGUGGCGAAGGCGGCUCUCUGGACCGCAACUGACGCUGAGGCGCGAAAGCUAGGGGAGCGAACGGGAUUAGAUACCCCGGUAGUCCUAGCCGUAAACGAUGGGCACUAGGUGUGGGAGGUAUCGACCCCUUCUGUGCCGCAGCUAACGCAUUAAGUGCCCCGCCUGGGGAGUACGGUCGCAAGACUA
rnacentral:rRNA from 1 species